rnacentral:rRNA from 1 species
CCGUAGCCCAAGAGAUCGGGAUAACACCUGGAAACAGAUGCUAAUACCGGAUAACAACAGAUGAUGCCUAUCAACUGUUUAAAAGAUGGUUAUGCUAUCACUCUUGGAUGGACCUGCGGUGCAUUAGCUAGUUGGUAGGGUAACGGCCUACCAAGGCGAUGAUGCAUAGCCGAGUUGAGAGACUGAUCGGCCACAUUGGGACUGAGACACGGCCCAAACUCCUACGGGAGGCAGCAGUC